rnacentral:rRNA from 1 species
UACGUAGGGGGCAAGCGUUGUCCGGAUUUAUUGGGCGUAAAGAGCGUGUAGGCGGCCAGGUAGGUCUGCUGUGAAAACUCGAGGCUUAACCUCGAGCUGUCGGCGGAAACCAUCUGGCUAGAGUCCGGAAGAGGAGAGUGGAAUUCCCGGUGUAGCGGUGAAAUGCGCAGAUAUCGGAAGGAACACCUGUGGCGAAAGCGGCUCACUGGACCAUAACUGACGCUGAGGCGCGAAAGCUAGGGGAGCAAACAGG